rnacentral:rRNA from 1 species
CCUACGGGUGGCAGCAGUGAGGAAUCUUGGUCAAUGGACGAGAGUCUGAACCAGCCAAGUAGCGUGAAGGAUGACUGCCCUAUGGGUUGUAAACUUCUUUUAUAUGGGAAUAAAAUGUUCCACGUGUGGGAUUUUGUAUGUACCAUAUGAAUAAGGAUCGGCUAACUCCGUGCCAGCAGCCGCGGUAAUACGGUGGAUCCGAGCGUUAUCCGGAUUUAUUGGGUUUAAAGGGAGCGUAGGUGGAUUGUUAAGUCAGUUGUGAAAGUUUGCGGCUCAACCGUAAAAUUGCAGUUGAAACUGGCAGUCUUGAGUGCAGUAGAGGUGGGCGGAAUUCGUGGUGUAGCGGUGAAAUGCUUAGAUAUCACGAAGAACUCCGAUUGCGAAGGCAGUUCACUGGACUGCAACUGACACUGAGGCUCGAAAGUGUGGGUAUCAAACAGGAUUAGAUACCCCUGUAGUC